GUUGAAGUGUAAGGUUCGUUGAAUUUUCCCCCGAAUGGUUAGACAAAAUCGUUGGUAGCUCCAGGAAAAUUCUCAAGAAAAUUGGUUAAGGACAGAAAACCAUUGUGGCUCCAGCAGCGGAAAAUAUUCAAUACAUAUGAACAAAGAAUGUACUGACAAUUGUGUGGAGAUUUUUUUUUUGGAAGAAAGAACUCACAUUUUUAUACAAAAUAAAAAGUGUAUAAAAGCAACACUAGCAUUGCAAAGCAAAUAAAUAUAAUUAAGAAAAAAAAUAAACAAAACAAAUCAAGUUAUAAGUAGGCGUAACACGCACACCACUGCCUCUCCCAACAACAACAAACAACAGAAACUAAAAAAAA